rnacentral:rRNA from 1 species
UACAGAGGGUGCUAGCGUUGUUCGGAAUCAUUGGGCGUAAAGGGUGCGUAGGCGGUUGAUCAAGUCUGGGGUGAAAUCUUUCGGCUUAACCGGAAAAGUGCCUUGGAUACUGGUCAGCUGGAGGGAGGUAGGGGCAGUUGGAACUUCCAGUGGAGCGGUGAAAUGCGUUGAUAUUGGAAGGAACGCCGGUGGCGAAAGCGAGCUGCUGGACCUCUUCUGACGCUGAUGCGUCGAAAGCUAGGGGAGCAAACGGG